UUUCUUUGUUGCUCAAGAAAAAUAGGCCCUGUGGAUAUGAUGACUGAUUACCUGAGAAAUCAUUGAUAAAAUCUCAAGAAAAUUCCUGUAGGUAGUCAAGUUCUGAUCCAGCUGU
rnacentral:miRNA from 1 species